CAAACAUUGAAUGAGGCCACGUCCCUCGGAGCGGUCCGCGGAUUGCAGACGAAAACCAAGUAGCCUUUCCGUCUCGAAAGUUACUGCGUACGAAGAAAAAAAACUCAGAUUCGGCUUUCCGACACUCCAGGAGGACAUGGAGGACGGUCAGCCUCUCCCCGCAUCUACCGCAGGUUGGAGGAUCAUUUUCAGGUGCAGUACACCGGAUUCCGAGAAGGAUGGGCCAAUGGCUACGUAGGACACCCCGGCAUGCGACUUAGAAGCGUCUGUAUAAAACUCUGUGCACGAGUACUUGUACUGGAGCUCCAAGAAGUGCAUUUUGAUAUGUGUCUCUGACGCAUGUUUAGUGACCUGUACAAAGGAUGUGUCACAUUCUAUCAGCUGCCACUCCCAGGGUGGUACUAGCUUAGCUGGAGGCAUUAGGCGUUGGUCGAGAACUGGGACAUCCAUUUCCGUGCUAAGUUCUCUUGCACGCAGUGAGAAAGGAAGUCUCACAGAGGGUCUGUUAUGAAAAAGUGUUUCACAUGUCAAGUCGUUAACGGUUGUGAAACACGGAUGUUCCUUAUUAGAGCGCACUUUCAGAAAAUAGUUGAAGCUGAUGUAAGUUCUCCGAAAAUGGAGUGACCACUCAUCGGACUCAACAUACAAACUUUCAACAGGGCUUGUUCUAAAUGCCCCAGUGGCCAGACGGAUUCCCAGAUGGUGCACGGGGUCUAACAUCUUUAGCGCGCUCGGGGCGGCAGAGUGAUACACUGCGGCUCCAUAGUCUAUUCGCGACCGAACUAGGCUCCUGUAAAGAUUCAACAGGCACUUCCUGUCGCUACCCCAUGUUGUGUAUGAUAGGAUUUUAAGUAGGUUCAUUGUUUUUAGACAUUUUUCUUUAACGUGUUUUAUGUGAGGAAUGAAAGUGAGCCUAGAGUCAAGAAUAACACCAAGGAAUUUGUGUUCUUUGCUGACAGGAAUUUGGUGUCUGCCCAGUUCUACACAAGGAUCUAGGACCAGGCCUCUCUUUCUUGUGAAGAGAACACAAGCACUUUUGUGGGGGUUGACCUUAAAUCCGUUUUCGUCUGCCCACUUGGAAACCUUGUUCAAGCCCUGCUGUACCUGUCUUUCGCAUACUGUAAGGUUGCAGGAUUUGAA